GGUUAAGCGACUAAGCGUACACGGUGGAUGCCCUGGCAGUCAGAGGCGAUGAAGGGCGUGCUAAUCUGCGAUAAGCGCCGGUAAGGUGAUAUGAACCGUUAUAACCGGCGAUACCCGAAUGGGGAAACCCAGUGUGACUCGUCACACUAUCAUUAACUGAAUCCAUAGGUUAAUGAGGCGAACCGGGGGAACUGAAACAUCUAAGUACCCCGAGGAAAAGAAAUCAACCGAGAUUCCCCCAGUAGCGGCGAGCGAACGGGGAGGAGCCCAGAGCCUGAAUCAGCAUGUGUGUUAGUGGAAGCGUCUGGAAAGGCGCGCGAUACAGGGUGACAGCCCCGUACACAAAAGCGCAUGUGCUGUGAGCUCGAUGAGUAGGGCGGGACA
rnacentral:rRNA from 1 species